UCUAACCCAAUUUCCCUGAAGGCGGAGGGAAGGACGUGUAGUGCCAACCCCAGGCAUUGGUUUAGGACAAGGAGGGCUCGUUGUGUUCUUCGUCAGGUGGAAAGGGGAGCCUUCUGCUGCCCGAGCCAGGGAGGAACUACGGAUGACUGGCCGUCUGAAACAGCCCCGCCGGCACCGAGAAGAGGAGACAGCAAAAAACGAAUAAAAGGAUUGUGAGGAGGGCCCCAAGAUGAAGAGGGAGGCACAAAGAGGCUGUGUAAUGGGUCCAAAGCUCCCUGGAUGGUAAAUGGCAGGGCCAGGAUUCACCUCCAGGAAGUCUGCGUGUAGAGCUCUUGAUAUUUAUAUAUCGAACCCAACUGACAGGUGGGAAAUACGGAGGCUUUGGUCCGGCCAACGGCGAGUCACAGUGCAAUCAGCUUCCCUGGUGCCGCAGACAGAGCACGACCAUAUUCCCUUAAAACGUCGACUGUGGUAUUGCACCCACGUGUCAUGAAUACUCAUGCUUCUGAGCAGCACAGGACAGGUAAGGACACGUUCGCUGACACACUGGUGAGGGCGGGGAACAGAACAGCCCUCCUGGCAGUGAAGCGUUUUCUCGCGCAUUCAUCCCACUUCUAAACCUGCGAACCUCUUGGAAGGGAUCCACCAACGCACGUUCGAAGGGACAGAUGGUGAAUGAAGGGGAGCAUGUUACGGGAGAAAAUGAAUUCACUUAUUAAGAAAUCAGCUCCUUGAUAGAACAUGGCACGUUUCCACAGACGACCGCAUGGGCUUUGACUCAGAGAC